UACGUAGGGUGCAAGCGUUAAUCGGAAUUACUGGGCGUAAAGCGUGCGCAGGCGGUUAUGUAAGACAGAUGUGAAAUGCCCGGGCUUAACCUGGGAACUGCAUUUGUGACUGCAUGGCUAGAGUUUGGCAGAGGGGGGUAGAAUUCCACGUGUAGCAGUGAAAUGCGUAGAUAUGUGGAGGAACACCGGAUGGCGAAGGCGGCAGCCCUGGGGUCCGAAUGACUGGA
rnacentral:rRNA from 1 species